ncrna:Butyrivibrio sp. AE3009 S10-Clostridia ribosomal protein leader
UGAUAGCUAUGAAGCGUGAGGUUGCUGCUUUAUCCAGUUAAGCAGGUUUUCCGUGGAGCGAAUGUCAAGGACCGAGUGAUCGGCCAAACAAACUGACGACAA